UGGGGAAUAUUGGGCAAUGGGCGAAAGCCUGACCCAGCAACGCCGCGUGAAGGAAGAAGGUCUUUGGAUUGUAAACUUUUGUCCUAUGGGAAGAAGGAAGUGACGGUACCAUGGGAGGAAGCCCCGGCUAACUACGUGCCAGCAGCCGCGGUAAUACGUAGGGGGCGAGCGUUGUCCGGAAUUACUGGGCGUAAAGGGCGCGCAGGCGGCCCAUCAAGUCAGAUGUGAAAUACCUGGGCUUAACCUGGGAACUGCAUUUAAACUGGUUGGCUAGGAGUGCAGGAGAGGGAAGCGGAAUUCCUAGUGUAGCGGUGAAAUGCGUAGAUAUUAGGAGGAACACCAGUGGCGAAGGCGGCUUUCUGGACUGUAACUGACGCUGAGGCGCGAAAGCGUGGGGAGCGAACAGGAUUAGAUACCC
rnacentral:rRNA from 1 species